GAUGAACGCUGGCGGCGUGCCUAAUACAUGCAAGUCGAGCGAACAGACGAGGAGCUUGCUCCUCUGACGUUAGCGGCGGACGGGUGAGUAACACGUGGAUAACCUACCUAUAAGACUGGGAUAACUUCGGGAAACCGGAGCUAAUACCGGAUAAUAUAUUGAACCGCAUGGUUCAAUAGUGAAAGACGGUUUUGCUGUCACUUAUAGAUGGAUCCGCGCGGCAUUAGCUAGUUGGUAAGGUAACGGCUUACCAAGGCAACGAUGCGUAGCCGACCUGAGAGGGGGAUCGGCCACCCUGGAACUGGGACACGGUCCAGAGUCCUACGGGAGGCAGCAGUAGGGAAUCGUCCGCAAUGGGCGAAAGCCUGACGGAGCAACGCCGCGUGAGUGAUGAAGGUCUUCGGAUCGUAAAACUCUGUUAUUAGGGAAGAACAAAUGUGUAAGGAACUAUGCACGUCUUGACGGUACCUAAUCAGAAAGCCACGGCUAACUACGUG
rnacentral:rRNA from 1 species